CCUUUCCCACAGGUCACACAUGAAAACAGUUUUCCACCAGUGUGAAUCAUCAUGUGCUCAGUUAAACUCUGUUUUUGAAUAAAACUUUUUCCACAGGUCACACAUGAAAACGGCUUUUCACUUGUGUGAGUCAUCAUAUGCCGAGUUAAAUGCUGUUUUAUACUAAAACUUUUUCCACAGGUCACACAUGAAAACGGCUUUUCACCAGUGUGAAUCAUCAUAUGCUUAGU